rnacentral:lncRNA from 1 species
GUCUGAUAUGCAUUCUGUAUUAUAUGGGCUUUUGGAAGCCUGAAGGGUUUAUGAAUUUGAUUUGUGACGGAGAGGGGGAAGUGUGUGGAAUAAAAUGGUUGCACCAGCGCACAGCACAAUGAUUCGAUCCGGCCGGGGCUUGCGUGAUUGUGUUGGCGUCGAUCGGUGGCGCUGUCGAUGGAGGGGGGGGGGGGGGGGGAAGGCAGGCGAGACAGCGCGCGUGCAUGCGAGGUGUGCAGGCCAAUGCUAGCUGGUCCCGGCGCCCGCCCUAGCGAGGCGAUAUCCAUCGCACUCCGUCGUGUCCAAGUCCAUUCCGGGCCUCCGUCAAUAAAUAUGCUCCGUCUCGUCAGAGAUUGUCGCCUCGAUCAUUUGGUGGUGAUCACUAUCAUCUCCUGAUCUGUUAGAUAGGUACACACGCUCGCUCCUCGAUCGUCUCGUCUGGAGAUUCCACCGUCAGAAGAUAACAAUCAGAUUAGAUCUACCGACCCGUCACCGCAGCCAUGGGAUGAUGGAGCAGGCCCGGUCGACCCGGAUGGUUUUUCGUCGCUCGAAUCAUGCUCCAACGUCGCCAUUCCGCACCACACGCUUGCCAGUCCGCUGGCGUACAGGCGGCCGGCUAACCCGACAUUUACCACCAACCGAUCGUUGAGCUAGCUAUGAAUGUGGUGAUGCUGACGGGGGGUAGAUAAGAGCGUUCAAUUGCUAUGGUGGCUGGCCUUGUUCUUCCUACUCCGUAUUUGAUUCACAAAUUCGAGAUGACGGGGGAUAGAUAUAUAGGGGUAAUCUUCUUACUACUGUAAAUCGUACAAUAUGUCCAGAUGAUUCAAGCCUACUGCCUACUUCUGGCAGAUGCUGCCCGGCCGGCCCAACGGUGAAUGACAUCUGUUGACGAUGGUUGCAGGAGUACGAUACUGGGGUG